AGAGCGCGUGUGGCCGCCGAGCACAUGGACCCACUGGUCAAGCGGGCUCGGCAAGGCCAGGAUGAAGAGAAGCUACGAACUUAGCAUUCCCAGAGCCCCCCGAGUGGAUAUCCGCGUGGAAAGGAUGUUGGCAGCCCCGGUGACCUCGGAGUCACGGCUGGAUCCACCCUCUUGUCUGAUUUUCUUAACUCUACUACGGUAAGAAGAUGCCCUCCAUCAGCAGGCCGUGUCUGCUGGGACCUCUCUGGAGACUUCCUGAACCCUGUGGAUUUACAGUAAGAUGCAGUUUCCUGGGGAGUAAUUCUGGUGGAUACAAAUUCCGGAGUAUUACACCUGGCUUGCCUGGAGAUGUUACAAGUAGCUGGAUGGAUUCUUCAGCCUGGAUGCCCACUGAAAACAAGGACCGAAACUAAGAGGAUUGUAUCUCUACCCUUGACUCAAUGAGAAUGUUUGUUGUCAUCUCUCGGGCUACCUGGAGCUCCCUCUAAAAUGUAAGCCCCUAAGACCCAUCUCCUUUCAAUGCAGUGUUUCUGUAUACCCUUUAAGCGUUCCAGAAGGAUUUUGAGAUCCUUUCCUAAAUCAAAGGUGGAAUAUUUGGGGAUUUGGAAAAUUGAGAUGUGAAGCGUUGACUUAAGAGAUGCCAAGUAACUCAGCAGAUGUCACACAGACGAUAAAUAGCAAAGAUGGAAGUCUUCAUGCCGGAGGCAAUCCUAUAAGACAGCUGAGUUCUGCAGAGCUGGUAGGAGACAGACUUGCUCAGGUGAUAGAUCCAGCCAUGAUACUGACCCUAAGAGAAUGAGACGCUCUGCAGAAGACAGAAGAUUCCUGAAACUGGGAAAGGUGCCUAGAAAUCCUGAUAAGAGUGAAGAAGGAGCUGGCAGAGCAGCCUUCCUCCGCACUAUGAAAGACAUCCAACAGAGAGCAAGUUCCCACCUCACUUCCAGCUUGACUCCUUUUUAUCUCCUAACUGUGGUCUGUGAUGUCUUCAGCAAUGGGUACCUGGAGGCACAGCAGCCAUGUUGAACCUAUGAGGUGAUGAAAAACCAUGCAACUAGAAACCAGAAUGGAAGAAAAGAAGAAGCUGGAUCCUUGACUGAAUUGUCGAUGGGGGAUAGUCCAUCAUCCCAGGGCUAAGACCACCUCCAGAUUUCUUGUUUGGUGAAACAAGUCCUGAUUGUUUACAUUCCCUCGUGUUGAGCUGUCUCUUGCUUGUAGCUGAAAGCAUUUCUAAUAGAUAUUCAGAUUAUCAGCCUUAGCUCCAAGCUAGAAUACUCUAUGGGACCUUAGCUUCUCCAUGAAUUCCUUUGCUCAUCUGUGUAAUGCUCAAUAAAUGUAAAUUGAACCCUGAAUGAGGGACAAUGACA
rnacentral:lncRNA from 1 species